AGAGUUUGAUCCUGGCUCAGGACGAACGCUGGCGGCGCGCCUAACACAUGCAAGUCGAACGAGAGAUGAGGAGCUUGCUCUUCAAAUCGAGUGGCGAACGGGUGAGUAACGCGUGAGGAACCUGCCUCAAAGAGGGGGACAACAGUUGGAAACGACUGCUAAUACCGCAUAAGCCCACGGCUCGGCAUCGAGCAGAGGGAAAAGGAGCAAUCCGCUUUGAGAUGGCCUCGCGUCCGAUUAGCUAGUUGGUGAGGUAACGGCCCACCAAGGCGACGAUCGGUAGCCGGACUGAGAGGUUGAACGGCCACAUUGGGACUGAGACACGGCCCAGACUCCUACGGGAGGCAGCAGUGGGGAAUAUUGCACAAUGGGGGAAACCCUGAUGCAGCGACGCCGCGUGGAGGAAGAAGGUCUUCGGAUUGUAAACUCCUGUUGUUGAGGAAGAUAAUGACGGUACUCAACAAGGAAGUGACGGCUAACUACGUGCCAGCAGCCGCGGUAAAACGUAGGUCACAAGCGUUGUCCGGAAUUACUGGGUGUAAAGGGAGCGCAGGCGGGAGAACAAGUUGGAAGUGAAAUCCAUGGGCUCAACCCAUGAACUGCUUUCAAAACUGUUUUUCUUGAGUAGUGCAGAGGUAGGCGGAAUUCCCGGUGUAGCGGUGGAAUGCGUAGAUAUCGGGAGGAACACCAGUGGCGAAGGCGGCCUACUGGGCACCAACUGACGCUGAGGCUCGAAAGUGUGGGUAGCAAACAGGAUUAGAUACCCUGGUAGUCCACACCGUAAACGAUGAUUACUAGGUGUUGGAGGAUUGACCCCUUCAGUGCCGCAGUUAACACAAUAAGUAAUCCACCUGGGGAGUACGACCGCAAGGUUGAAACUCAAAGGAAUUGACGGGGGCCCGCACAAGCAGUGGAGUAUGUGGUUUAAUUCGACGCAACGCGAAGAACCUUACCAAGUCUUGACAUCCCUAUGAAUAACGGGCAAUGCCGUUAGUACUUCGGUACAUAGGAGACAGGUGGUGCAUGGUUGUCGUCAGCUCGUGUCGUGAGAUGUUGGGUUAAGU
rnacentral:rRNA from 1 species